rnacentral:rRNA from 1 species
AUCAUGAGCCAUAUCACCCUGCAGCCCAAGACUGAUCGCCACACUGAAGCUAAGCAGGGUUGAGCCUGGUCAGUACCUGGAUGGGAGACCUCCUGGGAAAACUAGGUUGCUGCUGGAA